GGCCUGACGCGGCUGCUGGAGGGGCAGAAGGAGGCGGCCAGCGCUGGCAGCGGCCGCAAGGAGAACCGCCGCGAGACGUGGUGCCCCGGAGCCAAAGGUGCCUGCUUUCUACCACAUGCAGCCCUUUGCCAGCUCAAUGCAUCCCUUGGGGUGUGCCGCUCAGGACUGCAUUCCUGCGUCGAUGAUGGUUGCAGAUGGGCAUGCUUGAUGCACAAGUGAAAAAUGCAAAAAUUUGAAGAAUUGAAAUGCUUUGGGGUGUGCAGAGGGGAGGGGAAGGAAGCGGCCGUUUGCGUCGCACCUGCCCAACUUUGACGAGGACUGCACCGACGACACUACAGUGUCUGCGACUGAGGACAGCCGCUCUCGUUCCCCCCAGAGGCGCCG
rnacentral:lncRNA from 1 species